UCCUAAAGAAGUGUAGCAGCACAUCAUGAUUUGCAUGCUGUAUUAGAUUCUAAUCAUUAUUUGCUGCUUCAUGAUAUUGGGG
rfam:Xenopus laevis strain J chromosome 5S, whole genome shotgun sequence.